AUUGAACGCUGGCGGCAGGCCUAACACAUGCAAGUCGAACGCAGUGGCGGACGGGUGAGUAAUUUCUGGGAAACUGCCUGCUGGAGGGGGCUCACUACUGGAAACGGUAGCUAAUGCCGCAUACUGUCCGAUGAGCCUAGGUUGGGUUAGCUAGUUGGGGGGGUAAAGGCCUACCAAGGCGACGCUCCGUAACUGGUCUGAGAGGAUGAUCAGUCAAACUGGAACUGAGACACGGUCCAGACUCCUGCGGGAGGCAGCAGUGGGGAAUAUUGGGCAAUGGGCGAAAGCCUGAUCCAGCCAUGCCGCGUGUGUGAAGAAGGGCUUCGGAUUGUAAAGCACGUUAAGUUGGGAGGCGUUACCAACAGAAUAAGCACCGGCUAACUUCGUGCCAGCAGCCGCGGUAAUUC
rnacentral:rRNA from 1 species